AGAGUUUGAUCCUGGCUCAGGAUGAACGCUGGCGGCGUGCCUAACACAUGCAAGUCGAGCGAAGCGAUGUUAAGGAAGUUUUCGGAUGGAAUUAGAUUGACUUAGCGGCGGACGGGUGAGUAACGCGUGGGUAACCUGCCUUAUACAGGGGGAUAACAGUUAGAAAUGACUGCUAAUACCGCAUAAGCGCACGGGAACGCAUGUUUCUGUGUGAAAAACUGAGGUAGUAUAAGAUGGACCCGCGUCUGAUUAGCUAGUUGGUGGGGUAACGGCCUACCAAGGCGACGAUCAGUAGCCGGCCUGAGAGGGUGACCGGCCACAUUGGGACUGAGACACGGCCCAAACUCCUACGGGAGGCAGCAGUGGGGAAUAUUGCACAAUGGGGGAAACCCUGAUGCAGCGACGCCGCGUGAGUGAAGAAGUAUUUCGGUAUGUAAAGCUCUAUCAGCAGGGAAGAAGCAAGACGGUACCUGACUAAGAAGCCCCGGCUAACUACGUG
rnacentral:rRNA from 1 species